rnacentral:rRNA from 1 species
GCAAUGGGUAGUUUUGUCCAGAUAGUUUACUUUGAAAAAAUUAGAGUGUUCAAAGCAGGCAUAAUUGGCAUCAUGAAUACAUUAGCAUGGGAUAAUAGAAUAUGACAUUGGUCUUAUUUUGUUGGUUUCUAAGGCCAAAGUAAUGAUUGAUAGGGAUAGUUGGGGCCGCUCGUAUUGAGUUGUCAGAGGUGAAAUUCUAGGAUUUACUCAAGACGAACUAAUGCGAAAGCAUUCGGCAAGGAUGUUUUCAUUAAUCAAGAACGAAAGUUGGGGGAUCGAAGAUGAUCAGAUACCGUCGUAGUCUCAACCAUAAACUAUGUCAACCGAGGAUCCGGUAGCGUUACAUGGAUGACCUUCCGGGCACUCUGUGAGAAAUCAUAAGUAUUUGGAUUUCGGGGGGAGUAUGGUCGCAAGGCUGAAACUUAAAGGGAUUGACGGAAGGGCACCACCAGGAGUG